rnacentral:rRNA from 1 species
UACGUAGGGUGCAAGCGUUGUCCGGAAUUAUUGGGCGUAAAGAGCUCGUAGGCGGUUUGUCGCGUCUGCUGUGAAAACUCGGGGCUUAACUCCGGGCCUGCAGUGGGUACGGGCAGACUAGAGUGCGGUAGGGGAGACUGGAAUUCCUGGUGUAGCGGUGAAAUGCGUAGAUAUCAGGAGGAACACCGGUGGUGUAGACGGCUCUCUGGACCGUAACUGACGCUGAGACACGAAAGCGUGGGUAGCAAACAGG